AUCGCUUCUCGGCCUUUUGGCUAAGAUCAAGUGUAGUAUCUGUUCUUAUCAGUUUAAUAUCUGAUAUGUCCCCGAAAAGGGGACUUCAUAUUAAACCCAUUUUUGCACUCUGGAGCUGUAAUGGGAGCUUGCUCCAUUGACUCCACGCAUUAGCCCAGUAUUGCAGUGCCUCUGGGAGUAGUGCACCUCCU
ensembl:snRNA U2 U2 spliceosomal RNA